rnacentral:rRNA from 1 species
UACGUAGGGGGCAAGCGUUGUCCGGAAUCAUUGGGCGUAAAGAGCGUGUAGGCGGUUCGAUAAGUCGGCUGUGAAAGUCCAGGGCUCAACCCUGGGAUGCCGGUCGAAACUGUCGGACUAGAGUUCGGAAGAGGCGAGUGGAAUUCCCGGUGUAGCGGUGAAAUGCGCAGAUACCGGGAGGAACACCAAUGGCGAAGGCAGCUCGCUGGGACGUUACUGACGCUGAGACGCGAAAGCGUGGGGAGCAAACAGG